UACGAAGGGGGCGAGCGUUGUUCGGAUUUACUGGGCGUAAAGGGCGCGCAGGCGGCUUUGUUUGUCAGGCGUGAAAGCCCCGGGCUUAACCUGGGAACUGCGUUUGAUACGGAUGGGCUAGAGUUCGGGAGAGGAGAGUGGAAUUCCCAGUGUAGAGGUGAAAUUCGUAGAUAUUGGGAAGAACACCGGUGGCGAAGGCGGCUCUCUGGACCGAGACUGACGCUGAGGCGCGAAAGCGUGGGGAGCAAACAGG
rnacentral:rRNA from 1 species